rnacentral:rRNA from 1 species
AUUGAACGCUGGCGGCAGGCCUAACACAUGCAAGUCGAGCGGUUGACGGGAGCUUGCUCCCUGAUUCAGCGGCGGACGGGUGAGUAAUGCCUAGGAAUCUGCCUAUUAGUGGGGGACAACGUUUCGAAAGGAACGCUAAUACCGCAUACGUCCUACGGGAGAAAGCAGGGGACCUUCGGGCCUUGCGCUAAUAGAUGAGCCUAGGUCGGAUUAGCUAGUUGGUGAGGUAAUGGCUCACCAAGGCGACGAUCCGUAACUGGUCUGAGAGGAUGAUCAGUCACACUGGAACUGGGACACGGUCCAGAGUCCUACGGGAGGCAGCAGUGGGGAAUAUUGGACAAUGGGCGAAAGCCUGAUCCAGCCAUGCCGCGUGUGUGAAGAAGGUCUUCGGAUUGUAAAGCACUUUAAGUUGGGAGGAGGGGCAGUAAGUUAAUACCUUGCUGUUUUGACGUUACCGACAGAAUAAGCACCGGCUAACUCUGUGCCAGCAGCCGCAGUAAUAC